AUUCUCUAUCUGAUGGAGGGCAAAAAUUUCCAUUUAACUGUGUCUCACAUCGAACUCCUCAUUUGAAAGGGGCACCAGAAUGACUCUUUUUGUUCCAGUGGUUCUCAAAUUCACAUCCUCUGUCGAAGAGGUCUAUAAAUGUCAUCCAGUCAUACCAGGGCUUCAGUGCCUCUCCCUCUCCCUAUGGGAGCCUCAGACACACCACAUCUAGUCAUAAAUAUUUCCUCUUCUCCCUGUGUCUAUUGGGCAACAAAGCCUUCUCGAAUGCCCAUAUUUGACUGAAAUAUUUCCUUUUUUUUUCAGUGGUGGACACAUACCUACACUCUCUUGUAAAGUGUAAAUAGAUCUUGUCUUAUUGACUAUGUGUGCCUGCUAUAUUACAACUGUCUAAGAUUACUUCCAAACUUCUUCCUGUUACAAAUAUUCGGAGACAUUCUUCUAUUCAAGAAAAGUGGCCUUGCUCUUAUGUCAUCUGACUAAAGGUUUCAUAGACCAAAGAUAACCAUCCAACCUGUUGGAAUACUGAAACAAUUGCUGCCUGCUUUCCACACACUACAUAAAAUAUGUGGAUAUCCUAAAUUCUACAAAAAAAAGAUUUGUAAGCAAAUCAAGCAAUACUGGGACUCCCUCUUCUCCAGAAGACAGAGACAUCCUGGCCUCCAUGCAGAGGAAUGUGUGGAUAGACAUAUAUUUAAGGAAGACACUAAACCAGAAAAUACUACAUUACACCCUCUUAAAAGACUUCUAAGAACAAAAGCUCAUUUCCUCAAUGCAGAAACUAAAAUGAUGUAUUCCUCACGAUUCAUACCUAGACCCAGGAGAAGAACAUAUGCCUGAGAAGAAGAACUAGUGUGGAACUGUCAGCCAGGUUUUUGGUGAGUGCUCAGACUGCUUCCUGAUCCGGCACCACAUUUACUACAGUGGACAGAUGCUCUAGUCUCUGAUGAGGAGUUGCUAGCUGUAAGGAAGUACCUGGAAUGGGCUCCACUGCAUGAGGUUUGAAGUCUCCAGAGCAGCAAGGAGAGUGGGGAGUAGAACACAUCAUCUUUAGGUCACUCAUCCCCGAUGGAUUGUUCCCAACCUUAUUAUACAGACAACGAUGGUUGAACACAAACUUGUCAGGCUGACAAUGCAAUAGACAUCUACUAAAGUCCUUGGAACCAUGUUCAGAGUGCUGCACAUCCUCCUGAAGAUGCCACGGAUGACAUGGUUCCUUGUGAUUGUUGUUCUCUUCUUGUUGUUGCUGUUUUCUUUUAACUUUUGAAGAGGAUACAUUAUUAGUCUGUUGCUAUGUUAGUCAUCUCCUGGCAUUAGAAACCAACAUGCCACUGCUUAAAUGUUUUACAUUUCCUACUCUUUUUGGAAAGCACAACGUAUGCACAUCAUUUUUUCCUAUUGUUUCAAAGACAUACCACUAUGUAAUUCAACUUUACAAUUGUAAUCAUUUUGACCAAUUGUCACAUGAAUAUAAAUUUUAUGUGUAAA
rnacentral:lncRNA from 1 species